rnacentral:snoRNA from 1 species
UGCUAUUAAAUUACAUUUUGAGAAAAGUUCAUAGCAUUUUAGCUGGGGCUGCCACAGAUGACUGCCAUAGCAAACUCUGCAGAUUAUGUGUCCUAAGUCCUGUAUCCUGGGAUCUGGGAAUAAGUUUGGCUGCAGACAUUG